rnacentral:tRNA from 1 species
GCAUCUAUGGUUAAAUAGUUAAAACGCCCAACUCAUAACUGGCGAAUUCGUAGGUUCAAUUCUUACUAGAUGCA